rnacentral:tRNA from 1 species
GCCGGUAUAGCUCAGCUGGCUAGAGCAGCUGAUUUGUAAUCAGCAGGUCGUGGGUUCGAGUCCCUCUACCGGCUCUA